UUAGUGAGGCCUUCGGACUGGCUCAGGGAGGUUGGCAACGACCGCCCAGAGCCGGAAAGUUGGUCAAACUUGGUCAUUUAGAGGAAGUAAAAGUCGUAACAAGGUUUCCGUAGGUGAACCUGCGGAAGGAUCAUUACCGUGCCGUGGCAGCCGGCCCUCAAAAAGCCUGGCUGCUCACCUGGCCACCCGUGUUUACUUUACCUGUUGCUUCGGCGGGCCUGCGGGCUUGCUUGCUGCCGGGGGACCCUGGUUCCCGGGCUCGUGCCCGCCGAAGACCUUCUAAACCCUAGUUAAAGAUUGGCGUCUGAGUGAUUAAGAAAUCAGUUAAAACUUUCAACAACGGAUCUCUUGGUUCCCACAUCGAUGAAGAACGCAGCGAAAUGCGAUAAGUAAUGUGAAUUGCAGAAUUCCGUGAAUCAUCGAAUCUUUGAACGCACAUUGCGCCCGCUGGUAUUCCGGCGGGCAUGCCUGUCUGAGCGUCAGUAUAAUCUCAAGCAACUGCUUGGUGUUGGAAGAUGAGCUGCCCAGCAGUUCCCUUCUUAAACUGAUUGGCAAGUCAACGUAGCAACAAGCGUAGUAGAAAUACCAUUGCUGAGUUGCGACUGUGAAGCUUCGCCAGAAUCAAACUUUCCAAGGUUUGACCUCAGAUCAGGUAAGGAUACCCCCUGAACUUAAGCAUAUCAAUAAGGGGAGGAAAAGAAACCAACAGGGAUUGCCCUAGUAACGGCGAGUGAAGCGGCAACAACUCAAAUUUGAAAGCUUGCUCUUUUAGAGUACGCAUUGUAAUUUGUAGAGGCAUAUUCGGGAAGCGGUUUAGUCUAUGUUCUUUGGGA
rnacentral:rRNA from 1 species